UCCCUGGAAGACUAGUGCAUAGGCCAUGGCGCUCUCACUGCUGCGGCCCGGGUUCGAUUCCCAGCCAGGGAA
rnacentral:tRNA from 1 species